rnacentral:rRNA from 1 species
AAGGUUUUCUAAUAAAUUAUGUUUUUAUCAGAUAUGACAGAAUCUUUUUUAAAAUCUCUUCAAUAUGCUUUUAUUGCUUUUGAGAGGUUUUGUUACUUUGAGUAAAAUUAAGUGUUCAUAACAGACGGGUAGUCAUGAUUUGAGUUCAUUGUGUA